GAAGCCGGGAGGUGAAGGCCGCAGUAACGCUGUUCCCUGCAUUGGAUGAAGUGCUCCCCACCAAACUCUCUCACCGGAGAGGGUGGGAUCUGCGGGCUCCCUGGGUGGCUUGAUUUCGACACCCUGUGGGCUGCCUUCCACUCUGGUACUUUCCUCUGCCUGCUGAUGCUUGAAAUUCCUUGAACCGGCCACACACACCUGCUUUCUGGAAUCAGAACACUGGAAAGGCUUCCUGGGACGGGAGAAGAGUGAUUUACAUUCCUGCCGAGGUGUAAAGCUGCGGAUGGCAGGUUCUCUCCUGAGAACCGGCUUCAACUAGGAGGAGGAGGUUGGAAGCAGGACCCCGAGCUGACCUGUUGACCAGGAGAGGAGUGAGAGUUCCUUGAAGCUUCACUGCAAUUCCCCAGCCACAGAGUGUCUGAAGACUGCUGCAGGUCCAGUUUGAGUUGCUUUUACUCUCCAGGAACACACAGAUGUGACUAAAAAAAUCUGCAUUCCCCUAAAGUAACAACAUUCAUGCUACUCCAGAGACCCAGACAAAGGGGAAUUAAGCUUGCUUGAACUUGAGCCUGGGGACCAGGAUGCUGAUGGAGGCUUUGCAGAUUCUUGGGUCUCCAUGGAGACGAACAGACUCUGGCAAAAUUUCCUUCUUGGGAGAAAGGCAGUGUUGGCUGCUUUCUUUCCUCUGGCCACCCUGAGAAUGCAAGACUCAUAAAAGUGCUGUGUAUAGAUUCUCUGCAGACACGGGGCCAUUUUGUACCAUUUCUGGCCUCUUCAGAGCCCUUCUGAAGUGCUCUCUGGCAUCCAGCAUCCAGGGUGUCCAGCUGCCUCCACAAACAGCAAGAGCUCAUCAGUAAUGGGUGACACAAGUCACACAACCAAGAGCCAUGUGUCUGGUUCAUAGCACCUUAUGCAAAGUGAAUGCUCACUAUGGUUUUUAGCAAAAAAUGUGUGGAGAAUAAAGAGGAAUAAUAGCCAA
ensembl:lncRNA LINC01191 long intergenic non-protein coding RNA 1191